UUACAAUCAAAUCCGCUUAAUCCGUAUAAUCAAAUUUUAUAUUUCUUUAGGGCUACCGUGCAAUUGAACAAUGGUAUUACAGAAAAACCUUAGGACAACCACUAUAUUAGGUUCUGGGAUUAACAGCUUCCAAAGGUUCGAAAAGCGGAAACUAUUUCCGAAAACAGGAGGAUUUUUGCAGUACCAAUUUGGCAGAGGUGUUAUGUGUUAUACUGGUUACACAGCGACUCUUACACAAACCGGUCUCCGUAAUACAUGUUCUACGUUUUGCGCAUCAUGAUUCAUUCAGGAAGUACCAAAUAAAACUGUAUCAAAGUUUUCGGUUUUUUCAACCAAAAUAAAUAUCAGUUGGAUAAAAUGUGAAGCAGGCUGCGAGCCAUGAAAAUGGCGCCUGGAAGAAGAGAUAUAAGGUACACCGGGGUAAGUGUGGACGCGGGGUAAGUGUGGACAAUGGCUAUUGAAACAAUACUGUGCACUAUUUUUUCAAACUUUUAAUGCAGAAUGUUCAAUUUACUUGUAAUCUAUCCAAUAACUGUGAAAAAGAUACGAUUCAUACAAUAACGGAUGUUUACAGCGACUUUUUUGGAAUUUUCUAUUUUCAACUACGAUGUCGAGUUGAUGUGCUUGUUUUUCAAUUGCGAAUUUUUCGUAAACUAG